CCCCGGGCCGGCUCCCUCAGUCCGAGCUGGCAGUUCAACAUCCCCUGGGUCGGCGCUGCAAACUUCUUUGGAUUGGGCCCAGAGGGUGUGUGAGCCGGCCUCCACCCAACCUCUUAAGGUUCAGAGACCCACCGUCGAAGGAGAGCCCCUUUUCGUGUUUUCCCCAUUACGCUUCUCUCCCCUCUUUGCUUAGAGCGCUCUUGCCUCUCUGGGGCUGCCUAACCAGUUUGCCCCACCAUGGGGAGCUAGUCUUCUUAAGGUGUGGGUCCUAGAGGGGCAGGGAGCAGGUCUGAGGCACAAUUGGGGAAUUUCAAACCCGAUUUUCCAGUUUAAAGAGGAGCUAGGUUUUAAGCUGAGAAGUCAGUGGGAGAUAACUUUGUGGCCUUUGGCGUUUUGGGGAAACAUCCAUCUGCAAGGCUGGUGUAAUUCAUUAAAAAGAUAUUGGGAAACCAUAUCUCAAGAGUUUCCCCAGAGAUUGUUUUAGAAACUCUCAAAUUAGAGAGAGGAGAUGUAUCUCGCGACCAGUACACUGAAUAGUAUCUUCCUUCAGACAGGGAUUGAGAAACGGAAAUACCACCACCCUCCAGCCAAACUUGUGAGGACUGAUUGCAGGGGAACUGGUGCUCCAGAUGUUGCACUAGAGGCACUGCAAGUGUGAGCAGGUGGCAGUGGAUCACCAUCGGAGGUUAUAUCAGAUGAUCUCAACAUUUCUGUUGACAUUUCCUUAUAUCUAUUUGCAAAAGGAGCCCUACAACCUUAUCUCUGUGCAGAGAUCAUCUUUCAAACUUUGCUCUGAUAUAAGCUGUUGUUCACCAGGGAGUUUUGGCAAGAGAAUUGACUGGAUCAACGAGUUCAUCCCAAUGCGGGAAAACAACUUGAAUUUCAUCGCUGUUGAUGACUUAAGAAGAAUUCUUCAUGCAUAACUACACUGGCAAUUGAGUGGCAGAAAACUCCUUUAGUACAACUGCGUUUUCUUUAAUCCCAUCUACCCAUGCAAUUGAAAAGUUCUGUUAGCAUUAAACAAUGAGCUAUGAGAGAACCAAGAUGGUGACAGAGGAGGUUCCUCCCUUUGCUCCCAAGAGCAACAUUUAAUAAUUAACCAGAAGUUCACUAUACCAAGAGAGUCCCAUGGCUUGGGGUGAAACUGAUGUGUCCAUGGACUUGUGAACAAGCACAGAAGAGACAUGGUGGAGAUUUUAUACUUCAUUAAACAAGAGGCAGAGAAAGAGCAUUGAGAUGCCUCCACACCCCAGUGUCCUGCAGGCAGAGCAGGUCCCCUGGAGGUCCUCCCUGCAGUGGGGAGCCAGUUUGUCCAUCAGCAGCUGCCUGUCUGUCCAUCAGCAGCCACCUCCCACACCAUAUGGGACCUGCGUGGAAGAGAAGAGCCAAUAAAGCUCAAGCACAGAGUUACCUGUUUAGGAUGCUCUUUUGCCAGCAAAAUCCCCCUGGGGCAGGCUGCACAGACCUGCUUUUCAAGGCUCAGAUGGAAACCAGGAGGCCCUAGGAGGUGCUUCACCAGUUCGGUUGCCCUCCUGGCCUUUUACCUGCUCUGCUCCAGGGACAUCAGUGCUGCCCAGACUUCUGUGCUGCAGUUCUAGUGAAGACCAUUAUCUUCUACAAUAUGAACAAUUCCAUCAGUAGAAUUAUUGGUAUAAUUUCCUUUACUGAUGUCAUUAGAUUCUGCAAAUAGAAAACCUAUGUUCAAAUUCCACUGUCAUAAUUUCUAGCCAUUGAAUUUAGGGUUAAGGAGCAAAACUGAACUUCACCAUGAAGCUCUCCUAAAAUUUUGAUUUAUCGUUACUUUCUCAAGAUUCAUUUUGAAUUAGAUCAUGUUCUUCUUGUAAACUUUCAUGGAAGGAUUUCAAAAUGAGUGAGAUAAUCAGAAAUGAAAUUUCCAGAAACUUAUGAAAGUCUUGACCUUGAAAUGCAUUGUCAUCCUAAGAAGUUUUGACUAUCUCAAAGGCAAAGAGAUGACAUAAACAUCAUUCCUGCUGCAAUGUGAAAAAUGGAUGAAGUAGGGCAAUACUGCAGGAGUGAUGCAAAUUAUGCCUAUAGGAAACAGUAUGCUUCUAACUUGGAGAAAUAUAUUAUUUCUAAUUGGAGACACACAGAAACACUAUGGAGAAUUGCCUCUUAACAGGAAGUUCAGAGACAUGGCUAAAGGUGUGCUCCUGCCCGGUCAGCUUGCUUCACAAUGGGCUUCCUUUCUGCAGCUGCUGUUUCCCACUCAUCCACUUUGGUGCUACACGGUGGGGUCCACGUAUGGACUUUAUUAUUAAUGAAGAGAUGUACUGCUUCUGCUGGGAUAGAUUGAAUACAUUCUGCUGGGAUAGAUUGAAUACCUGCUUCAAAUCGUCUUACAUGUUUUCUUGGUGGAAAAACAAUCAUUGGAGAAUCAUCUUUUUAAUGUCAACCAAAAUGGAAACACAUCGAGACAUUUAGGGUGCCACAGUGCCCGGAAGUUAAUGUUGCCAGUGUUUUACAAGCUUUGGCAAAAGAAGUUUCAAGACAGUGUGCCUCACUAGUGAGAAAUCAAAAAAGAGUGAAUUCCUUUUUGUCUCAGCUGCUCCUUAAAUCAAUCUAACUCCUACAAAUUAAUGUGAAUCGAAACAUGCAUUGCCUUUUCAACUUAAUUGAGUGCUUACUAAGUGUGAAUCACUACACAAAAUAGGGGAGGGAAAAUGAGGGAGACAAAUAAGAUGUAAUCCUUGCCUUUAAUGAAUUUACAAGUAGUUUCAGGGCACAUUUUCCUUUUUGGUCUUCUGCUCUUAAUUAAGUGUCUCGAAGACAGGAAAUAAAUGAAUGGAAAAGGAUAUUUGUAAGUAUUUUACUCCUUUUAAUAAAAAACAAAACCAAAAAAAUCUCCUAAUGUGGGCAACUCAGGACAUCUUAAUUCCAUUGUUUUUAGACUUUCUGUAAGUAGGAUUCAUUUUAUGCAUUUCAUAAAUAUUCAGUAGAUUUUAGAGAUAUUAAUAUAUUAUCAUUUGAGUUAAUUUGAAUUAAAUUUUAAUUUUUCCCCUUAGGUAUAGACUAUCAAAAAAUAUGUUUAUACAUUUCUUGGUGAGUCUGGAGGUGAAUUACAUUGUUGUCAUGAUAGAUCUCUAACUUCUGUACCCUCAAACUGCUAUUCUGAGUGAAAUAUUAACAUGGAGAAGGUGAAGACUUGAACCAAAGUUGGGGUUAUUGCCCUUGGAUCCAACAUAGGGCAGGGAAUGGCUCUGUACAAAAAUGUGGCUGAGUAACUCUUUUAGUGUUCUUUGUGUUGUCCUUUAUGUUCAAUAAUUUGACUGUACAGUUAAAAAAUUUAUUUCUGAUUUGGGAAUGUCAUGAUUUUUCCAGUGUUUCUGAUGUUAAUGAUAUGACCAUGGACACCAGAUACUUUAUAUAGUGUCUGUGACACAUUUUAGUAUGUAUGAGCCAACAAUCAACGUGUCUUUGUCUUGAGUAGUGUCCAUCUGAAUUGAAAAUGUGCCAGUUUUUUUUUUUAACUUCAUCAACAGACUUCUUAAUUAAGCUGCCAAUAUAUACUGUCAAUAGCACUGUGUGCUGUUUGAGAAAUGAGUUGUGUAAGUGUUGUUUCCCUCUUAUUAAAUAAACAGUGU